rnacentral:rRNA from 1 species
GUCGAGCGGUAGCACAGAAGAGCUUGCUCUCGGGUGACGAGCGGCGGACGGGUGAGUAAUGUCUGGGAAACUGCCUGAUGGAGGGGGAUAACUACUGGAAACGGUAGCUAAUACCGCAUAAUGUCGCAAGACCAAAGUGGGGGACCUUCGGGCCUCAUGCCAUCAGAUGUGCCCAGAUGGGAUUAGCUAGUAGGUGGGGUAACGGCUCACCUAGGCGACGAUCCCUAGCUGGUCUGAGAGGAUGACCAGCCACACUGGAACUGAGACACGGUCCAGACUCCUACGGGAGGCAGCAGUGGGGAAUAUUGCACAAUGGGCGCAAGCCUGAUGCAGCCAUGCCGCGUGUGUGAAGAACGCCUUCGGGUUGUAAAGCACUUUCAGCGGGGAGGAAGGCGUUAAGGUUAAUAACCUUGGCGAUUGACGUUACCCGCAGAAGAAGCACCGGCUAACUCCGUGCCAGCAGCCGCGGUAAUACGGAGGGUGCAAGCGUUAAUCGGAAUUACUGGGCGUAAAGCGCACGCAGGCGGUCUGUCAAGUCGGAUGUGAAAUCCCCGGGCUCAACCUGGGAACUGCAUUCGAAACUGGCAGGCUAGAGUCUUGUAGAGGGGGGUAGAAUUCCAGGUGUAGCGGUGAAAUGCGUAGAGAUCUGGAGGAAUACCGGUGGCGAAGGCGGCCCCCUGGACAAAGACUGACGCUCAGGUGCGAAAGCGUGGGGAGCAAACAGGAUUAGAUACCCUGGUAGUCCACGCCGUAAACGAUGUCGAUUUGGAGGUUGUGCCCUUGAGGCGUGGCUUCCGGAGCUAACGCGUUAAAUCGACCGCCUGGGGAGUACGGCCGCAAGGUUAAAACUCAAAUGAAUUGACGGGGGCCCGCACAAGCGGUGGAGCAUGUGGUUUAAUUCGAUGCAACGCGAAGAACCUUACCUGGUCUUGACAUCCACAGAACUUUCCAGAGAUGGAUUGGUGCCUUCGGGAACUGUGAGACAGGUGCUGCAUGGCUGUCGUCAGCUCGUGUUGUGAAAUGUUGGGUUAAGUCCCGCAACGAGCGCAACCCUUAUCCUUUGUUGCCAGCGGUUAGGCCGGGAACUCAAAGGAGACUGCCAGUGAUAAACUGGAGGAAGGUGGGGAUGACGUCAAGUCAUCAUGGCCCUUACGACCAGGGCUACACACGUGCUACAAUGGCAUAUACAAAGAGAAGCGACCUCGCGAGAGCAAGCGGACCUCAUAAAGUAUGUCGUAGUCCGGAUUGGAGUCUGCAACUCGACUCCAUGAAGUCGGAAUCGCUAGUAAUCGUAGAUCAGAAUGCUACGGUGAAUACGUUCCCGGGCCUUGUACACACCGCCCGUCACACCAUGGGAGUGGGUUGCAAAAGAAGUAGGUAGCUUAACCUUCGGGAGGGCGCU